CCCCAUUCUGUGUGUGACAGCGGUACAGACGAGAUGUGGAUAGCCGUCUGCCUCUUUCUCGUCUGUCCCGUGGCUGGGAACUCUGUGACCCAGAUUCGAGCGUCUGCGUCAGCCAGGGAAGGGCGGUCCGUGAAACUGAAUUGUCAGUACAGCACCACGUACUCGUACUACGCUCUGGGAUGGUACCAGCAGCUGCCUGGGCAGCAGCCUCUGUUCCUAGUGUACAGAAAUGACAGGGGAAAUGAAUACAAGCCCCAUUCUGUGGCACCUCGGUUUUCCUCCGAGCUCAGCACCGAUGUCAAAUCCUUCACACUGUCCAUAGAAGGGGUGCAACGGGCUGACUCGGCGGUGUAUUUCUGUGCUCUCAUUGGUUUCUGGAAUAUCCUACACUGCCCCCUUCAUUGCCCCGUGGUGGUGGAACAGAAGGUUCAGCACUGGGCCAGAGUUACAUUAUUAGGGAAAGAUGCUUUAGGGACCCGCUCCCCUUUCCCUGCUAGGAGAUCUCAAG